rnacentral:lncRNA from 12 species
UGGAUUAUUUUUCCCCAUUUUUCUUUUGCCAUUUGUAUACUAUAUUCAAACCAUUUCUUUUCCUUUUUUCUUUCUUUCCAUGGCAACAAAGAGGCAAAGCUCCUUUGCAAAAGCAAUACAGUCCUUCAGACACCACCCUCUUUGUGCUAAGACCUGUCUCACAGAGAGAAGAAAAAUAUCCCCAGCUCCAAAGAAAAUAUCACUUCUAUUUAAUGAUUAAAACAAAUCAGUGUGAGAGAAGACAUAAGGGCAGCUACCAGAAAAUUCUGGAAAAUUGCCUUCCUUGUGGGGCCAAAGACUGAACUCACACUGAAUGAACUCACAGCAGGAAACCUCAAGGCCUUUUUGGGACAAGUCAUGUCAUUCCAGAGCACUGUGUGGGAAAGGAACCAAGCAGUUCCUCCAACUGCUUCUACACUAUAGAGCAGCUACUGCCUUUCUGCAAGGUAAAGGCUAGACCUGAUGAACAAAAGGAGAUUUUCAUGUCCCCAAGAUGUUAAAUACACACUGACAGCCAAUCCAAAUAUUAUGAAAUUAAAUAACCUCCUCUAUUCUGCAUAAUAAAACCAAAUUGCUACAGUGGUGUCACUGAAUGCCACAUACAGAGAGGAUGAAGAAUCAGAGCAGCCCAUAGAUUUUUCUCCAGUCCUGCCAGCAGCACAUCUGCCUGCAACAAGGAAUUCCUAUAUCCAUGUGUUUCCUGUCAACCUGUGUGACAAAUGCAGCACACUCUUUGUGCUCCCAGCUAGCAGAGGGAGCAAAUGACAUAUAGAGAUAUAUAAAGCCCCUCUUUGUUGCCAUCCAUGGAUAGAAGGCAUUGCCCAG